rnacentral:misc_RNA from 1 species
AUCAACACCAUCAUUGGUAUAAUGCCAAGUUGAAUCAGCCUUGAUGACGACAAAGGAAACAUGAACGGUAUCGCCUUCAUAUUUAAUAUCAUGAGAGAAGCAUUCUUCCCUAUCAAUCACAAAUCUAAUCCCAAACACAGCCUGCAGGCUCGAUAAAAGUGCCAAUAUUACCACAGUGUAAAGUUCCUUUAGCCGAAUUCCCAUCUUUGAUGUUGAAAUUGAAGGGUUCCUUAAGGCCCCUAUGGAAGCCUCAAUAACUUAUCAGAGAACUCGUACUCGAUUUGAAAAUAAGAC